rnacentral:rRNA from 1 species
UACGGAAGGCAGCAGUGGGGAAUAUUGCACAAUGGGCGAAAGCCUGAUGCAGCUAUGCCGCGUGUAUGAAGAAGGCCUUAGGGUUGUAAAGUACUUUCAUCGGGGAGGAAAAACAAAACUAAUAAUUUUAUUUCUUGACGUUACCCGAAAAAGAAGCACCGGCUAACUCCGUGCCAGCAGCCGCGGUAAUACGGAGGGUGCUAGCGUUAAUCAGAAUUACUGGGCGUAAAGAGCACGUAGGUGGUUUUUUUAAGUCAGAUGUGAAUCCCUGGGCUUAACCUAGGAACUGCAUUUUGAAACUGAAAUACUAGAGUAUCGUAGAGGGAGGUAGAAUUCUAGGUGUAGCGGUGAAAUGCGUAGAUAUCUGGAGGAAUACCUGUGGCGAAAGCGGCCUCCUAAACGAAUACUGACACUGAGGUGCGAAAAGCGUGGGGAGCAAACAGGGAUUAGAUACC